AUUACAGAAGUGAGAAACAAAGACUGUUAUUCAAUUGAGACACUCAUUACAUUAUUUCUAACUUUUCAAGGAAAAACAUAGUUUACGACUUGAGUUUAUCUGCCUAGUAACCUUGCAACUGCACAGCUAGAGAAACAGGAUCUUUGCAAUGCCUGGGAAAGAGAGAGAUAAGACUCACUAGCCACAGAGAGAAAAACAGGCGUUAAUUUUUAAAGGACUCCACCUCUUUUUCUUUCUCAGGGGGAAUUGGAUUUUUUUACAUACAACUGAGUUUUCGCUUACACGUUAUUUAAUUUCUUUUAAUUCCUGUUUCAUCACCAGGCUGGAAUGUAGUGGUGCAAUAACAGCUCACUGUAGCCUCGACCUCCUGGGCUCAAGCCAUCCCUGACCUCACCCUCCCGAGUAGCUGGGACCACAGGCGUGUGCCACCACACUCAGCUAAUUUAUUUAAAACAAUUUUUUUUUAGAGAUGAGUUCUCCCUUUGUUGCCCAGCUGGUCUGAAAUUCCUGGUUUCAAGUGACCCUCACACGUCAGCCUCCUAAAGAGCUGAAGUUAUAAGCAUGAACCAUUGUGUUACAAUGGCCCCCUUGCCGCUCACAAAAACCGCCAACCAGGCCCCCCUCAAGGUCUUGCAUUUGCUGCUCCACUUGCCUGGAAUGCUGCUCCCUCAUCUGUCCACGACUCCCUUCUUCAUUUAUUCAGAAGAGAACAUAAAUGAGGAGGCAAUUCAACUUCAACCAUGUGGAUAAGGACAACACUCAGGUGGAACGGUGUUAUGGGAUGAAUUGUGUCCCCUCUAAAUUCAGAUGUUGAAGUCUUAACCCCAGUACCUCAGAAUGACUGUUUCAGGAGACAUAGUCUUUAAAAAUAAAAUUAAGUUAAAAUGAGGUUAUUAGCAUAGGGUCUAAUCCAACCUUCUAAGAAGAGGAAAUUUGGACAUGGACACAUACAGAGGUAAGACAAUGAGAAGACACAGGGAGAAAAUGGCCAUCUACCUGACAAGGUUGACUCAGCAGAAACAUCCUUAUCAAUCCCCUGAUCCUGGACUUCCAGCCUCCAGAAUUGUAAGAAGUAAAUUUCUGUUUAAACCAUUCUGUCUGUGGUACUUUGUUAUGGCAUUUCUGGAAAACUAAUAUAAACAGUGGGAUAGGAGAAAACAGUAUCCCUGAAUGAAGCAUAGCUGCCUAACUCCAUUGACUGCCUCCCUAAUUCCAGACUUUUAUGGGAAAGAGCCAAAUUAUCUUUUUUUUUGAGACAGAGUCUCACUGUGUUGCCUAGGCUGGAGUGCAGUGGCACGAUCUCGGCUCACUGCAACCUCUGCCUCCCAGGUUCAAGCAAUUCUCCUUCAUCAGCCUCCUGAGUAGCUGGGAUUACAGGAAUGCAUCACCACACCUAGCGAAUUUUUGUAUUUUUAGUAGAGACGGGGUUUCACCACAUUGGCCAGACUGGUCCUGAACUCCUGACCUCAAGUGAUCCACACUCCUCGGUCUCCCAACGUGCUGAGAUUACAGGUGUGAGCCACCACGCCUGGCUAGCCAAAUUAUCUUGAGUCAAUGCAUUUUGGUUCCCCUUUGUUACAGCCCUUCACCUAUACUCAAGUAUAAUACUUAAAAGGAAAAAAUGGAAACAACCUAAGAGUUUAACAAUAGAAAAAGGAUGAACCAAAUAAUGAUAUAUGCACUGAACAUAACCACAAACCAGAACUUCAGCAUGGCAAAUCAGUAAAACAAGUUUAAGUGCAUAAGUCACAUA